ACUUUAAUUGGAUCAAACCCUAUUGGAUAAUAGGCUUGAUUGGAUCAAGCCCUAUUAUCAAAUAGCUUCUCUGAAUCCAUCAAGAAUCAAUCCUUGGAUCAAUGGGGUUUUCAUCUAACUAAUUAUGAUUCAAUUGGAGCCUAUAAUUGGGCUAGGAUCUAAUUAGUUAGUUUGUUAUAACUAAUUAUUAAGUUAGUUAGGAUUGGAUCUAAGAAUUAGUUAGAAUUUGACCA
rnacentral:lncRNA from 1 species